rnacentral:misc_RNA from 1 species
GAUGAAGAACGUAGCGAAAUGCGAUAAGUAAUGUGAAUUGCAGAAUUCAGUGAAUCAUCGAAUCUUUGUACGCACAUUGCGCCCGCCAGUAUUCUGGCGGGCAUGCCUGUCCGAGCGUCAUUUCAACCCUCGAACCCCUCCGGGGGGUCGGCGUUGGGGAUCGGCCCCUCACCGGGCCGCCCCCGAAAUCCAGUGGCGGUCUCGCCGCAGCCUCUCCUGCGCAGUAGUUUGCACACUCGCACCGGGAGCGCGGCGCGGCCACAGCCGUAAAACACCCCAAACUCUGAAAUGUUGACCUCGGAUCAGGUAGGAAUACCCGCUGAACUUAAGCAUAUCAAUAAGCGGAGGA